rnacentral:tRNA from 1 species
UCCCUGGUGGCUCAGCUGGUAAAGAAUCUGCCUGCAAUGCAGAAGACCUGGGUUCAAUCCCUGGGUUGGGAA